rnacentral:rRNA from 1 species
GAUGAACGCUAGCUACAGGCUUAACACAUGCAAGUCGCGGGGCAGCAUGGGGGUUGCUUGCAAUCCCCGAUGGCGACCGGCGCACGGGUGAGUAACGCGUAUCCAACCUGCCCUUCACCACGGGAUAACCCGGCGAAAGUCGGACUAAUACCGUAUGUUGUCCAUUGACGGCCUCCGAUUUGGACGAAAGGCUUGGCGGUGAGGGAUGGGGAUGCGUCCGAUUAGCCAGACGGCGGGGUAACGGCCCACCGUGGCUACGAUCGGUAGGGGUUCUGAGAGGAAGGUCCCCCACGUUGGAACUGAGACACGGUCCAGACUCCUACGGGAGGCAGCAGUGAGGAAUAUUGGUCAAUGGGCGUAAGCCUGAACCAGCCAAGUAGCGUGCAGGAUGACGGCCCUAUGGGUUGUAAACUGCUUUUAUGCGGGGAUAAAGUGGCCCACGUGUGGGCUUUUGCAGGUACCGCAUGAAUAAGGACCGGCUAAUUCCGUG